GACGAACGCUGGCGGCGUGCUUAACACAUGCAAGUCGAACGGAAAGGCCCUGCUUUUGUGGGGUGCUCGAGUGGCGAACGGGUGAGUAACACGUGAGUAACCUGCCCUUGACUUUGGGAUAACUUCAGGAAACUGGGGCUAAUACCGGAUAGGAGCUCCUGCUGCAUGGUGGGGGUUGGAAAGUUUCGGCGGUUGGGGAUGGACUCGCGGCUUAUCAGCUUGUUGGUGGGGUAGUGGCUUACCAAGGCUUUGACGGGUAGCCGGCCUGAGAGGGUGACCGGCCACAUGGGGACUGAGAUACGGCCCAGACUCCUACGGGAGGCAGCAGUGGGGAGUAUUACACAAUGGGCGGAAGCCUGAUGCAGCAACGCCGCGUGCGGGAUGACGGCCUUCGGGUUGUGAACCGCUUUCGCCUGUGACGAAGCGUGAGUGACGGUAAUGGGUAAAGAAGCACCGGCUAACUACGUG
rnacentral:rRNA from 1 species